rnacentral:rRNA from 1 species
UACGUAGGGGGCAAGCGUUGUCCGGAUUCAUUGGGCGUAAAGAGCGUGUAGGCGGCCAGAUAGGUCAGCUGUGAAAACUCGGGGCUCAACCCUGAGACGUCGGUUGAAACCAUCUGGCUAGAGUCCGGAAGAGGAGUGUGGAAUUCCCGGUGUAGCGGUGAAAUGCGCAGAUAUCGGGAAGAACACCCGUGGCGAAAGCGGCGCACUGGACCACAACUGACGCUGAGGCGCGAAAGCUAGGGGAGCAAACAGG